rnacentral:rRNA from 1 species
UCCAUGGCAUGCCUUAGUAGCGGCGAGUGAGCGGCAAAAGCUCAAAUUUGAAAUCUGGCGCCUUCGGUGUCCGAGUUGUAAUUUGAAGAUUGUAACCUUGGGGUUGGCUCUUGUCUAUGUUUCUUGGAACAGGACGUCACAGAGGGUGAGAAUCCCGUGCGAUGAGAUGCCCAAUUCUAUGUAAGGUGCUUUCGAAGAGUCGAGUUGUUUGGGAAUGCAGCUCUAAGUGGGUGGUAAAUUCCAUCUAAAGCUAAAUAUUGGCGAGAGACCGAUAGCGAACAAGUACAGUGAUGGAAAGAUGAAAAGAACUUUGAAAAGAGAGUGAAAAAGUACGUGAAAUUGUUGAAAGGGAAGGGUUUGAGAUCAGACUCGAUAUUUUGUGAGCCUUGCCUUCGUGGCGGGGUGACCCGCAGCUUAUCGGGCCAGCAUCGGUUUGGGCGGUAGGAUAAUGGCGUAGGAAUGUGACUUUACUUCGGUGAAGUGUUAUAGCCUGCGUUGAUGCUGCCUGCCUAGACCGAGGACUGCGAUUUUAUCAAGGAUGCUGGCAUAAUGAUCCCAAACAACCCGUCUUGAAACACGGACCCAAA